rnacentral:rRNA from 1 species
CCCUUAGAUGUCCUGGGCCGCACGCGCGCUACAAUGACUCACUCAGAAAGUUUUUCCUGAUCCGGAAGGAUUCGGGUAAUCUUCAUAGCAUGAGUCGUGUUAGGGAUCGAUCUUUGCAAUUAUAGAUCUUGAACGAGGAAUGCCUAGUAAGUGCAGCUCAUCAGGCUGUACUGAUUACGUCCCUGCCCUUUGUACACACCGCCCGUCGCUCCUACCGAUUGAGUGGCCCGGUGAACCUUCUGGAUUAAGCAGCAAUGCUUGAGGAGUUAGGUAAACCUUAUCACUUAGAGGAAGGAGAAGUCGUAACA